CAUCCUGCAGUCGACGAUAACAGGAUUAGAUACCCUGUAGUCCACUCCGAAACGAUGUCGAUUGGAGGUUGUGCCCUGAGGCGUGGCUUCCGGAGCUAACGCGCUAAGUCGACCGCCUGGGGAGUACGGCCGCAAGGUUAAAACUCAAAUGAAUUGACGGGGUCCCGCACAAGCGGUGGAGCAUGUGGUUUAAUUCGAUGCAACGCGACGAACUUCACUUGGUCUUGACAUCCACAGAACUUUCCAGAGAUGGAUUGGUGCCUUCGGGAAUUGUGAGACAGGUCAUGCAUGGCUGUCGUCAGCUCGUGUUGUGAAAUGCUGGGUUAAGUCCCGUAAUGAGCGCAAUCCUUCUCCUUUGCUGCCACCGUUUCGGCCGGGAUCUCAAAGGAGACUGCCAGUGAUAAACUGGAGGAAGGUGGGGAUGACGUCAAGUCAUCAUGCCCCUUACGACCAGGGCUACACACGUGCUACAAUGGCGCAUACAAAGAGAAGCGACCUCGCGAGAGCAAGUGGACAUCAUAAAGUGGGUCGUAGUCCGGAUUGGAGUUUGCAACUCGCUCCAUGAAGUCGGAAUCGUUAGUAAUCGUGGAUCAGAAUGCCACGGUCAUACGUUCCCGGCCCUUGUACACACCUCCCCUCACGCCAGGGGAGUGGGUUGCAAAAGAAGUAGGUAGCUUAACCUUCGGGAGGGCGCAAACCACCAUGGGAUUCAGGACUGGGGUGAAGUCGUAACAAUCUAACC
rnacentral:rRNA from 1 species